rnacentral:rRNA from 1 species
CUUUUAGGAAAAGUUAAAGGUCGGACCUGCCCACUGAUAAAUUGAAGGGCUGCAGUAUUUUGACUGUACAAAGGUAGCAUAAUCAUUAGUUUCUUAAUUGGGAACUGGAAUGAAUGGUUUGACGAAAUAAAAACUGUCUUCAAGUUGAGAAUUUGAAUUUUAUGUUUAAGUUAAAAAGCUUAAAUAAUGUUUAGGGACGAGAAGACCCUAUAGAUCUUUAUAUGAAGUUAAUUUAUUUUUUAUUGGGGGAUAAAAAAAUAAAUUAAUUAAUAUUUUGUUGGGGUGACAUGGGAAUAGAAAAACUUCUCAAUUAUUUUAACUUUAAUUUAAGGUUAAAGGAUCCUUUUUUAAGGAAAAAAGAUUAAGAUACCUUAGGGAUAACAGCGUUAUUUUAUUAGCAAGUUCAUAUUAAUAAUAAAGUUUGCGACCUCGAUGUUGGAUUAAGAUUAUAGGUUGGUGUACAGGUUAAACAAUUAAGUCUGUUC